rnacentral:rRNA from 1 species
UUCUAGCCUUUUCCGCCUAUAUACCACCGUCGCCAGUUUACCCUGUGAAGGUUCAACAGUAAACACAAUCGGCACAGCCCAAAACGUCAGGUCGAGGUGUAGUGAAUGGAGGGGGAAGAAAUGGGCUACAUUCCCUAACACUAGGGCAUACGAAUGACGUGCUGAAACGCACAUCUGAAGGAGGAUUUAGCAGUAAGUAGAGAAUAGAGUGCCCUACUGAAGACGGCUCUGAAGCGCGCACACACCGCCCGUCACUCUCCCCAAGCUUACAUCCCAAAUUUACUAAAACACGACAACUGCAAAGGGGAGGCAAGUCGUAACAUGGUAAGCGUACCGGAAGGUGCUCUUGGAACAAACUUAU